GCGGGUGUGGCGGAAUUGGUAGACGCGCCAGACUUAGGAUCUGGUUCUGAGAGGAGUAAGGGUUCGAGUCCCUUCAUCCGCA
rnacentral:tRNA from 1 species